UACGUAGGGGGCAAGCGUUGUCCGGAAUCAUUGGGCGUAAAGAGCUCGUAGGCGGCUCAGUAAGUCGGGUGUGAAACCUCCAGGCUCAACCUGGAGACGCCACCCGAUACUGCUGUGGCUAGAGUCCGGUAGGGGAACACGGAAUUCCCGGUGUAGCGGUGAAAUGCUUAGAUAUCGGGAGGAACACCAGUGGCGAAGACGGUGUUCUGGGCCGGAACUGACGCUGAUACGCGAAAGCGUGGGGAGCAAACAGG
rnacentral:rRNA from 1 species